rnacentral:rRNA from 1 species
AUUGAACGCUGGCGGAAUGCUUUACACAUGCAAGUCGAACGGCAGCACGGGGGCAACCCUGGUGGCGAGUGGCGAACGGCUGAGUAACGCGUAGGUGACCUGCCCCGAAGUGGGGGAUAACUGCCCGAAAGGGUGGCUAAUACCGCAUGUGGUGGUUCGUUCAUUCGAACUAUCAAAGCAGCAAUGCGCUUCGGGAGGGGCCUGCGUCCGAUUAGCUCGUUGGUGGGGAACGGCUCACCAAGGCGACGAUCGGUAGGUGGUCUGAGAGGACGGUCAGCCACAUUGGGACUGAGACACUGCCCAGACUCCUACGGGAGGCUGCAGUCGAGAAUCUUGGGCAAUGCACGAAAGUGUGACCCAGCGACGCCGCGUGGAGGAUGAAGGCCCUUGGGUUGUAAACUCCUUUUAAGGGAGAAGAAGGUGUGCGCAAGCAUGCUUGACGGUAUCCCUUGAAUAAGCCACGGCUAACUACGUG